UACGAAGGGGGCUAGCGUUGCUCGGAAUCACUGGGCGUAAAGCGCACGUAGGCGGACUCUUAAGUCGGUGGUGAAAUCCUGGAGCUCAACUCCAGAACUGCCUUCGAUACUGAGAGUCUCGAGUCCGAGAGAGGUGAGUGGAACUGCGAGUGUAGAGGUGAAAUUCGUAGAUAUUCGCAAGAACACCAGUGACGAAGGCGGCUCACUGGCUCGGUACUGACGCUGAGGUGCGAAAGCGUGGGGAGCAAACAGG
rnacentral:rRNA from 1 species